rnacentral:ncRNA from 1 species
UCUGGAUAAACUUGCAUCCAUCCAAGGGAAUGGAGCAAGUCACUGUACGGAGCAUUUCCGUAAGGUAUGAGCGUAGCGAUUACUUUACAGAAUUAAUUAAGUAACACAUUUUGGGAUUGCCAAAGGCUUACAUAUAAGUGUAAACGACCCAAGUUUGCACUUGGAGUGAAAUUCUGAAGUGCUAGGAUAACCGUACAUCCUUUAACAUAUUUUAUGUUAUAAAAGUAAUCUUGAAUAGCUUUAACUAGCUUUUCGAGUUACGGAAGG